GUCUGGAUUUAGGGAGGAAGAAACUCUACUGCCAAACUGUAGGGCUUCCGUGUCACUGGAAAGGUUCACCCAGGUCCAGACUGUUUCAAGGACAGGCGCAGUGGUUUGGUGGCAACAGAAACCUGGACUUCGUCUCUCACCAUGUUCAGCUCUUCUCAGCAGCACAGAUCAGGAUGGCUGCUCCGGUCCCUGCCAUUGGCUGGCAUGGAACAGGGAACAGCGGAGUGUGUGCCCGUUCCCCUGAAGGGCACCAUCCUGAAGUUGCACAAGCCACUUCUCACCAACCAUUGCUGGGAACUUAACCACAUGGUUACACCAGCAAGGAACACUGGGAAAUGUAGUCUUUAUUUUGGGCAGCCUAAGCCCAACAAAAAACCAGGGAUUCUAUUACAAGGGAAGGAAGGGGGACAACCACAAGUACUUUAAUGGAUGGAAUAAAGGGUUUUUUGAAAUCAAGGGUAUGGUUUUGAGUACUUCAUUUUGGCUUCACUGUGGUCCAUUUAGUAAACCUAGUAGUACCUGAUUAAAUUAGACAUGGAUA